UAUGAGAAGGAGAUGCUUGAAUGUGGCAAGACAAAACAAUCAAAAGAACAAACUCAACAAGACUAAAGUGCCAACGUUAGUUCACUCGCACAUAACUACUUGAACAUUAGCGUUAUCCUAUGUUGUCUCCUCAGCCCUUCAUUUUUCCCUCCAAUCUCUCCAUGACCAUCUCUUUCAACAACCCCCUCCUCUCCUCUUCCUUCCUUCAUCAACCUCUCAAUUCUCCAACAUUCCCAUAUGUAUCCAUUUUCUUCCCCAAAAUCUCCAACCCCAUCUCCCCAAAUCGCUAUAUUCCUAUAAAAUCCAUCACUAAAGCAUCCAUGGAGUCCAGGAAUCCCACACAAAGAAGAAGUUCAAGUCCAAGAAAAUUCAAACCCAGACAUGGAACUUCAAGAAGAUCAACUCUUAAGAAAAGUCUCAGUCAAGAACAAGUUGAUUUUACUAAACCUGUUCCUGAGGAUCCUGUUGUUGGGAUUAUUGGAGGUGGCAUGUCCGGCCUUACCUGUGCUCUUCAACUGGAGAAAAGAGGCAUUCGUUCAACCGUUUUCGACACGGGAAUACAUGGGUUGGGAGGACGAAUGGGAACAAGAAUGAUUGAUCAUCAGCCUUUGAUAUUUGACCAUGCAGCUCAGUUCUUCACGGUGACCAACCCCAAGUUUGCUGAGCUAGUUGAUGGCUGGUUGAAGAGAGGUUUGGUUCGUGAAUGGCUGGGUACAAUUGGUGAGCUUGAAGUUGGUGGGCAUUUUGUUCCAUUUCCUUCUAAACCUACAAAAUAUAUAGGGGUCAACGGAAUGCGCCCACUUGCGGAUUCAUUACUAUCUCAGACUUCUUUGGUCAAUGUGGUACGGCCUUGUUGGGUCAGCACACUCGAACCAUUUAAUGGGACUUGGCACUUGAGUGAGAAGGGGAAGCCUUGUGGACAGUUUGAUGCAAUUGUCAUUGCACAUAAUGGAAAAUGUGCAAAUAGAUUGCUUGCAGCAUCAGGCUUACCCCUCAUUGCAAGACAAAUGAAGAGACUUGAACUCAGUUCUAUAUGGGCUCUUCUUGCUGCAUUUGAGGAUCCUCUGCCUACUGCACUAAAUGCAGAGUCCCUUCCCUUUGAAGGGGCUUUCGUAAAAGGGGUUGAUUCUGUCUCAUGGAUGGCAAACAACACUAAGAAACUCUUAGCUUCAGAUAGUGGUCCAGAAUGUUGGACAUUUUUCAGCACUGCAACCUUUGGAAAGCAGAACAAAGUCCCCCAGGAAAGUAUUCCAACUACUACAGUAGAUAAAGUGAAGGAAGCUAUGCUUGAGGGUGUUGAGAAGGCUCUAGGACUGUCAAAAAGUUCACUCCAAAAGCCAUUUUUUACCAGAUUACAACUAUGGCCACCGUGGAAUUAUCGAACAGCGAAACAACAUCAUAAUCCUCCUCCACGGCCUCCCAAAGAUCUAAAGUCUCAAGAUAAGUCUGCCCAAAAUUGGGGUGCAGCUCUUCCGACCAACACCCCUGGAAUUCCAUGCAUCUUUGAUCCUCGUGGAAGGGCUGGUAUAUGUGGCGAUUGGCUACUUGGCUCAAGUUUAGAAGCUGCAGCUAUAAGUGGCAUAGCUGUUGCUGAUCAAAUUGCAGAUUACUUCGAACAAGGUGGACCUUGCACAGAUGAGUUUGCUAUUGGUUUGCAUGAUGAAUAUAAGCCACUUGAAGGACAUGAUAUAGGGCAGUUCCUGGGACUGGAAUCUGUUGAUCAAACCACUACCCCAGCUUUGACACUUGCUACAUGAAUUGAUCCUUUGACAAAGUCUUCCGUAAGAUGAUUAGUUGGUUAAAGCAUGUGAACAAAUUAAGACUCACUACCAGAACAAGCAAUUUGCAAUGCUGGUUAUAGACAUACUUGAGCUUGAAUCAUUUUGCUUGCAGCUCAUGAGAAGGUUCAACUAAAUACCAGAUAACUGAAACCCGAGUUGGAUUUCUCGAACCUUCAUCCUUCGGUUGAAGAGAAAAAGCUCUCAUAAGUCAAGCCGGAUGCCAUUAGAAUCUCAGUUGGUUACACGUUUAUUAAAACCUUGAACGACGAAUUCUACAAUUUCAGAGAGAAAUUUUUGCAGUUUAUAUGCAGUGUGGUAGGUCCUCAAAAAGAUGAUGAUUAGUACAUAGGUAGUUUUUGUUUUUCCAAAGGAGAUUAUUCUUGAUAAGUGUGUUUUGGGCAUAAAAAGGUACUUGUUGCGUUGUUGGUUACAACUUAUAUGGACGAACAUCAAACUAAGAAACUUGAUUUGUGUUGCUUAAUAACAAUCUUCAUAUUAUGAGAACUCA